rnacentral:lncRNA from 1 species
GCCGUCUGAUGCUUAGGUAAAAUAUUUGUUUGUACAUCAAAAUACCAGUAGCCAAGUAGUCGUUUUCAUGUGCGUUUAAUUCAAUUAUGUAGAGGGAGAGGCCUGGGAGGAGUUGGAGUCGGAGUCCAGGUCUGAUAUUCUGAGAGCAGCGUGGGAACAUCGUUGGACUUAUGUAACUCAUUUGGUAACCAUUGUAAGGUGUCCAUCACAAGUCCAUCACAUUCCCAUAGGCUUAUUAAAUACAAUGAGCUAGCUGCUUGUAAUUUCUAAGCUGAUUUUGCAAAUCAAUCAAAAGGAGAUACAGUCAGGGCGAUAAGUCAAUUACGAAUGCAAAUGUUUGGGAACAAAUUGGAGAGAAGGAAAAGAGUUGAAAGCGAACAGAAUUAGAGGUGUUCUGGGGGUAAAAUGAUCUUAUGUUAG